rnacentral:rRNA from 1 species
UCCCUCGAAGAUGACGAGGUUAAUAGGUUCGAGGUGGAAGCGUGGUGACACGUGGAGCUGACGAAUACUAAUCGAUCGAAGACUUAAUCAAUUU